rnacentral:rRNA from 1 species
GGCGAACGGGUGAGUAACGCGUGGGUAAUCUACCUUUGGGGCAGGGAUAACUCCCCGAAAGGGGUGCUAAUACCUGAUACGAUGCGGGUUUCACAAGGAGUCCGCAUGAAAGGUGACCUCUUCCUUGAAAGUUGCCGCUCGAAGAUGAGCCCGCGUCCCAUUAGCUCGUUGGUGGGGUAAUGGCCCACCAAGGCGAAGAUGGGUAGCUGGUCUGAGAGGAUGAUCAGCCACACUGGAACUGAGACACGGUCCAGACUCCUACGGGAGGCAGCAGUGGGGAAUAUUGCGCAAUGGGGGAAACCCUGACGCAGCAACGCCGCGUGAGUGAUGAAGGCCUUCGGGUCGUAAAGCUCUGUCAGGUGGGAAGAAAAAGGAGAUCACCAAUAAGGGUUUCCUUUGACGGUACCACCAGAGGAAGCACCGGCUAACUCCGUGCCAGCAGCCGCGGUAAUACGGAGGGUGCAAGCGUUGUUCGGAAUCACUGGGCGUAAAGCGCGUGCAGGCGGCCUGUUAAGUCAGGUGUGAAAUCCCUUG